rnacentral:rRNA from 1 species
CCAAUUAUGCCUCAGUACGGCGAGUGAGCGGCAAAAGCUCAAAUUUGAAAUCCCCCGGGAAUUGUAAUUUGAAGAGAUUUGGGUCCGGCCGGCGGGGGUUAAGUCCACUGGAAAGUGGCGCCACAGAGGGUGACAGCCCCGUGAACCCCUUCAACGCCUUCAUCCCAGAUCUCCAAGAGUCGAGUUGUUUGGGAAUGCAGCUCUAAGUGGGUGGUAAAUUCCAUCUAAAGCUAAAUACCGGCGAGAGACCGAUAGCGAACAAGUACAGUGAUGGAAAGAUGAAAAGCACUUUGAAAAGAGAGUGAAAAAGUACGUGAAAUUGUUGAAAGGGAAGGGCUUGCAAGCAGACACUUAACUGGGCCAGCAUCGGGGCGGCGGGAAACAAAACCACCGGGGAAUGUACCUCUCGAGGAUUAUAACCCCGGUCCUUACUCCCUCACCAUCCCGAGGCCUGCAAUCUAAGGAUGCUGGCGUAAUGGUUGCAAGUCGCCCGUCUUAAAAACCGGGAACAAAAAACCAACGCCCCCCCACCCAUCCAAAUAAAGAAAAAGAAAAAAAGGAAAAAAAAAAAAAA